AAAAAAUGUGGGUCUGAAGUGAAUAUUCCAUCUCCAAAAACAUUAAAAUUGCAGAACAUCAACUAAAAUGAAGACGUAUAGCAGUGACAAGAAGAACAAAGUUUUUGGAAGCCCUGGGUGUUGUUGACUUCUCUUGUUUAUGUUAUAAUAUACCUAAAUAAAUAAAUGCUGGUUGGUAUGAAUCCUGCUA